UACGUAGGGGCAAGCGUUAUCCGGAUUUACUGGGUGUAAAGGGAGCGCAGACGGAACUGCAAGUCUGAUGUGAAAGCCCGGGGCUCAACCGCGGGACUGCAUCGGAUACUGUGGAUCUGGAGUGCCGGAGGGGCAAGCGGAAUUCCUGGUGUAGCGGUGAAAUGCGUAGAUAUCAGGAGGAACACCGGCGGCGAAGGCGGCUUGCUGGACGGCAACUGACGUUGAGGCUCGAAAGCGUGGGGAGCAAACAGGAUUAGAUACCCG
rnacentral:rRNA from 1 species